rnacentral:misc_RNA from 1 species
UCCCCGUUCACCGGGGCAGUCCCCUCAGAGUGCCCGGCAUGACCCGGUAGCAACAAAGGGCAAGGGUUGCGCUCGUUGCGGGACUUAACCCAACAUCUCACGACACGAGCUGACGACAGCCAUGCAGCACCUGUGCAUCGGCCCCGAAGGGAAGACAGCUUUCACUGCCGGUCCAAUGCAUGUCAAACCCAGGUAAGGUUCUUCGCGUUGCGUCGAAUUAAACCACAUGCUCCACCGCUUGUGCGGGCCCCCGUCAAUUCGUUUGAGUUUCAGCCUUGCGACCGUACUCCCCAGGCGGGGCACUUACUGCGUUAGCGCCGGCACCGACGGGAUGUAUACCGCCGACACCUAGUGCCCAUCGUUUACGGCGUGGACUAC